AGAGGCACAUGGGACUGAGUGAUGAAAACAAGAUAUGUUGUAUGUAGGCUAAAACUGCUGCUGUAAUUUUUAAGCAGCAGCGACACCACAUGCAUCUUUAUCAUGUUCAAUGAGCCAUGUUUGAGUUCUCGUUUCUGACACAGGAAGCCAAACAUUUUCGAGGCAGUGAGUCACUGACUAUUUGAAGUCUUUUCCUGCCUUCUCCAGGGGACCUCAUGUUAGUGGCUGAGUGCAGGGGCACGGCUCUUGCUGCAAAGACAGAGGAUUAUCAUUGUUUUCCCACAUAGUUAAUUAGUAGAGAAUCAUCUGUUUCCUGUGGGAACAGCCGGCAUGCAUCAACUCCUUUAUCUUUGCCCUGAGGAACGGAUUAACAGAUACAGCUUUAAAUAGAUCUGUAAUGGAUCCUUGGCUUGACAGUUUCACCUGACAGAGAGAUCGAGACAUCGAUCUGUGCCAGAAACCCCAUCUGAGCAGGUACACGGAGUAGAACAAGAGAAGGCAAGGCCACCUCAGAUUUACCACGGAGCCAAAACAGUCAACGAAAGGCCGCAGGCAGUUGCCAGGCAACACUAUCCCUAUCACAGCAGGAAGUGGAGUCGAACAGCACAUUAAUCACUUUCAGCUCCAUCUCACAAGAGUCACAGUGCUAUAGUGCUCCAGUCAAACAGAAGUUUCACACUAUGUUCAGUCACACACGUUCAUACCUGUAUUUCCUGGCAUUUUACUGGAGGCCUGGUUAGACAGAAUGUCUCCAGGUAUGUUUACAUAAUUCAUGGAAUACAUUUCUCUGAAUUAAUAUCAGUCCAUUUUUGUCCCACUUUAUAUUUCAAGUCAAGUCUGAGCCCAACAUUUGAGGAAGUUAAACCUGUUUUAAAGGACUUAUCUUGUGCUGUGAGUUCACUUGGCACUGGAUAUAAUUAAAGCAAAUCAUGAGGGAUAUCUGCCUGCUGUUCAGUCUGCUUCAAAUCUGUUUGUUUCACCUGCCAAAGCACAUCUUUACAAGCCAGCUCCAGAUCCACCAGAGUUUCUGCAGUUAUAUAUUCUGCCAUGCUUCUAAUGCUUAGUGUCUGUUAAAUGUGUAACAUCCAAGUGAUGCUCAAAGCACAGCGAUACGUCACAAAAGGUCAAUGUUUUCCUACAAGGUUGGCUUUUUGUGCCAUUGACAACUCUGCUUGUUGUCAGAUAAAUUUGAACUUGGGCUCAGACCUGUGAAAAGACAGAGGUGAAAUUCAAAAUGAUUUUAAUUUCCAGGUCUCUCCAAUAUUAGAAUAAAUGAAAUUACAGGAGUGUUCACCUGAUGAAGAGGCUUGCAUUAACUCAUAUAUCGUGUUAUAUUGAGAUAAUAAUUCAUACGAUGUUUAAAUUAUCCUAUGCCAUGUCCCUUGUUGUUAUAAUCUUUCUUUAUUAAACCAUUUCUCGUGGCAUUUUGAGUAGGAGGCUACAUUGGUGUAACAGCUUAUUGGCAAUGCACCGGCUCUCACAGCUUUGCCAAAGCCAGGCUCGCUGCAGCAGAUCUGUGAAUUGAGGAAAACCCGAAAAAAAAAAGCAUGUGGGUGGAUUCACAUGAGUAAAAAAAAAAAAGACAAGGUUUUCCCCGCUCAGUCGGUGCUCAUAAAGAGACCUAAUCAAAUUUGUAAACAGACUCUGCACAGUGAACAAGAACAGCAUGCUAUGUGACGGGAGUCAUUGUUGGAGAGCUGAGCAGGUUGGCAGCCACCUGCCUACCUGAAGAGUGAUAAUGUGUCUCAGAGAUGAUACAACAGUAAUGAUACAUUUUUUGAAACACAAUGUUGCAUUUCAUUGAACAAUAUAAUCUUUCUAAUUCCA